rnacentral:hammerhead_ribozyme from 1 species
GGACCACUGAGGAGUCCCACAGAGGACGAAACGACCGUCCAGUAC